GAUUUUCUAGACAUUGAAAGUGCCCCACCGGGCUUAAUCGGGAAUCCCGUGAAAAGCGGGAGCGGACCCGCCGCCGUAAGCCGGGCAACAAACUGUCUUUCACCAUGCGCCACUGGGUUCAGCCCGGGAAGGCCGAAAGAUGGCCGGCAAGCCGGAAGACCUGCUUUCAACUUACCUUCAAA
rfam:Desulfovibrio desulfuricans subsp. desulfuricans str. ATCC 27774, complete genome.